rnacentral:rRNA from 1 species
UAGAACGCUGAAGAGAGGAGCUUGCUCUUCUUGGAUGAGUUGCGAACGGGUGAGUAACGCGUAGGUAACCUGCCUUGUAGCGGGGGAUAACUAUUGGAAACGAUAGCUAAUACCGCAUAACAAUGGAUGACACAUGUCAUUUAUUUGAAAGGGGCAAUUGCUCCACUACAAGAUGGACCUGCGUUGUAUUAGCUAGUAGGUGAGGUAACGGCUCACCUAGGCGACGAUACAUAGCCGACCUGAGAGGGUGAUCGGCCACACUGGGACUGAGACACGGCCCAGACUCCUACGGGAGGCAGCAGUAGGGAAUCUUCGGCAAUGGGGGCAACCCUGACCGAGCAACGCCGCGUGAGUGAAGAAGGUUUUCGGAUCGUAAAGCUCUGUUGUAAGUCAAGAACGAGUGUGAGAGUGGAAAGUUCACACUGUGACGGUAGCUUACCAGAAAGGGACGGCUAACUACGUGCCAGCAGCCGCGGUAAUACGUAGGUCCCGAGCGUUGUCCGGAUUUAUUGGGCGUAAAGCGAGCGCAGGCGGUUUGAUAAGUCUGAAGUUAAAGGCUGUGGCUCAACCAUAGUUCGCUUUGGAAACUGUCAAACUUGAGUGCAGAAGGGGAGAGUGGAAUUCCAUGUGUAGCGGUGAAAUGCGUAGAUAUAUGGAGGAACACCGGUGGCGAAAGCGGCUCUCUGGUCUGUAACUGACGCUGAGGCUCGAAAGCGUGGGGAGCGAACAGGAUUAGAUACCCUGGUAGUCCACGCCGUAAACGAUGAGUGCUAGGUGUUGGAUCCUUUCCGGGAUUCAGUGCCGCAGCUAACGCAUUAAGCACUCCGCCUGGGGAGUACGACCGCAAGGUUGAAACUCAAAGGAAUUGACGGGGGCCCGCACAAGCGGUGGAGCAUGUGGUUUAAUUCGAAGCAACGCGAAGAACCUUACCAGGUCUUGACAUCCCGAUGCUAUUUCUAGAGAUAGAAAGUUACUUCGGUACAUCGGUGACAGGUGGUGCAUGGUUGUCGUCAGCUCGUGUCGUGAGAUGUUGGGUUAAGUCCCGCAACGAGCGCAACCCCUAUUGUUAGUUGCCAUCAUUCAGUUGGGCACUCUAGCGAGACUGCCGGUAAUAAACCGGAGGAAGGUGGGGAUGACGUCAAAUCAUCAUGCCCCUUAUGACCUGGGCUACACACGUGCUACAAUGGUUGGUACAACGAGUUGCGAGUCGGUGACGGCAAGCUAAUCUCUUAAAGCCAAUCUCAGUUCGGAUUGUAGGCUGCAACUCGCCUACAUGAAGUCGGAAUCGCUAGUAAUCGCGGAUCAGCACGCCGCGGUGAAUACGUUCCCGGGCCUUGUACACACCGCCCGUCACACCACGAGAGUUUGUAACACCCGAAGUCGGUGAGGUA